rnacentral:misc_RNA from 1 species
CACACGUUUUGGGCUAUAUGUUCGUGUACAAUGGCUUCUUUUGACGCCCAAUUUAGAUAAGGCAUACGUGUUUCAUGAAAAUUGUUGGGCUACAUGCGUUGAAGUAACGAAGGUCUAACGUUAGAUCGGAAUCGGAACUUUUUUGGGGUAAUAGAUACUGAUAAUGAAGUUGACGAUACCAUCAACUACCACCAUGCAUCUAGUUGCCUUCCUUUGCCUAUUCUCAAUCUGGCUUCUGUCACCGAGUGUGAAUGCAUCUUGGGGUGAUCAGCAUCCGGUCUUCCAGAAUUAUCGGCGUCACUGUCUGAACAUGAAUUGCAGCACAGAUGCCAAACUGACUAGAUUCAAUACUAGACAGCCGCUAUCCAUGAGGUUAUUAGGUUGGGACUGCUCGUCUGAGUGUACCUAUGAAAGCAUGUGGCAUCUCACACACAAGGCUUUGGAAGAGGUUGAAAGAGUUCCACAGUUUUAUGGAAAGUGGCCUUUUGUGCGCUUUAUGGGCAUGCAGGAACCGGCAUCUUGUAUCUUCUCCAUUCUAAAUGGAGCCGUUGCAGUCUACAUGCUGAGUCGAUUCAGGAGACAAGUUCCAUCCAAUGCUCCCAUGUAUGAAGCGUGGCACGGCUACUUUGCUGUUCAGAUCAACACGUGGGUAUGGUCCACUGUUUUCCAUUUCAGAGAUGUAACAUGGACAGAGAAAAUGGACUACAUAUCUGCAUUUUCACUGAUUGUUUCUGGAAUGUUGAUGUUCAUUCUAAGAGUGUUUAGUAUGAAGGGAAAUACAAUCAACAUGAAGGUGGCUGUUCCUACUGUAACUCCAAUUGCCAUGUUCUUUUUGUCUCAUGCAUUCUACCUGGGCUUCACCAAGUUUAGUUACAGCUACAACCUCAAAGUCAAUCUAACAUUUGCAAUAGUCAGUUCAGUUGCGUGGUUACUCUGGUCCAUCAUUGUUCGUUCAAGACAGCCAUACGUAUGGAAAGUAGCCCUCUCUAUUCUGUCAGGAAACUUAUUAACUCUUCUUGAAGUCUUCGACUUUCCACCAGUAUGGUGGGUCUUUGAUGCACAUUCUAUAUGGCAUGGAGGCACUGCACCGCUUGCAUUUGUUUUCUAUAGUUUUGUGAUUGACGACUGCCUUUAUCUGUACGAGGAGUAUAAGAAAACACCAGACUAUAGGAGGAAAGGAGUUUGAUCAUCUUAGAUAAGAAAACUGAAAUCACAAAUUGCUGCAGCUUUAUUUUUUUCCUGUGAUUUACAGUUUCUCUGUGAAACCAAAAGUGCCAAAAUAUUUAGAACCAACAUACAUAAUGUAGUCGUGAACCAAACUUUCUUAUUAUGUGCGCCCUAGCCGUGUGCAGUGUUGCUUUGUGAGUACAUCGUAGUUGUGUUUUUAUUAGUACUAAAAGAUUGUGACAAUUGUUUUUACAUUUUGUUCCCUGCAACAUAUGAGUUUAGUUUGGUUGCUUAAUUUCCCAUUUGAUAUUCUGAUGAUGUCUCUAGAUUAGAAAUUUCAGUCUUAUUUAUAUCAUAUUGAAUUUUAGGUCUUUGUAAAUUAAAUUCACCAAAGAUGAUACAUAUAUCGUAAAAGUCAACAAUUAUGCAGUGAUUUACUCAUUUUAUACAGAGAUUUAGACACAAUUCUUUAAUUUUAUUUUUUUUUUCUAUAUAAAAUCACUUAAAUAAUGCAGUCAUGUGGAAAAUGUACUCCUUUAGUUUUGUACUUUGAUUUGUAUAAUGUACUGUAAAUAACAGAUAUUUUACGUCAAGAAAUUUAACAGGUGUACAUGUACUUUCAAUCACUUUUCCGAAGGUCCCUUACAAUCUAACUAAUUUUAAAAUCACAUUUAUAUUUGUAUAUAUUUAUUGUUGAUACUCAUUUUGAAAACUAUAAAAUUGAUAAGGGUUUUUGUUGAUGAGAUGCUCUAAGAGUGAAAUAAAACACUGUACAAAGGAAGUGAUA